CCAUUGUUGUCAUUAUAUAGAAACUAAAGUUUGCUAUUUGUUUUAUUAAUCAGUUUCUAUGGUUCUUCUGGGUGCCACUUUUCCAAGGUAUCGACAUUAAGCAGUCAUAUCCAUAACAGGAGACAUAGCUGUAAUUGAAAAGGAAAGAAAUAAUAAGGAAAAGAUAUGUAAAUAUGUUAUUAGCCUGUUGAUAAUUGAACCAAAUUGCAUAAGAAACGGAAGUC
rnacentral:lncRNA from 1 species